rnacentral:rRNA from 1 species
GUUGACUCCGCGCAAUCAGUCGUGGGUAGACGGUGGGGGCGAGGGUGGUGUGGAAGUACUAGGCGGAAAGCGAAAGUAGGCGGAACAGAAAGUUGGGGGUGAAAUCCCGGGGCUAAACCCCGGAACUGCCGUCAAAACUCCUGGUCGUGAGGUCGAGAGAGGUGAGUGGAAUUCAGAGUGUAGAGGUGAAAUUCGUAGAUAUUCGGAGGAACACCAGUGGCGAAGGCGGCUCACUGGCUCGAUACUGACGCUGAGGUGCGAAAUCGUGGGGAGCAAACAGGAUUAGAUACCCCGGUAGUC